GCUGUUACAUUAAAACGACCCAAACUUUAAGUGGUUGACCAUUUGUAUUUCUUUUUUAAGGGUGACGAUGGAUGCAAACACAGCCAGAUGUUUGGCUGAUGGGCAUACUCUUGGAUGAAUUCACAUGCUACGGUUUGUUGCAUGGUGUAAAUUGAUCAAUUUUAGUCAUUCUUGACAACAUAUCAACAUUCCAGUGUUUUGCUGAGGCCUAUCCCGACAGACCUUUCUCGGUUGGGCCUAGUUGUUGGAAAUGCCUCAUAGAAUAUACCUGUGGUUUUGCUUUACCUUCAUGGCUACUGACAUUAGCCGUGUGGGAUAUUACUGCAGAACAACAGUUCAAAAUGCUCCUAUAACAGCUGUUAUUGUGGCCUGUCUCACUUGUUUCAUAUACCCCUUUUCUUUGAUCAGGUGUAGGUCUGUAAAUGAGCACUAGAUGGCUCUCCAGCACAGUCUACCUGUUGGUAUGCCCGUAAUGGGAGUUGUUGUACCAAGAAUGGUUUCAAGAGGAACUGUAGCCCCACCAAGGGUGGUGCGUAUGCACAGACUGGGGGCGCCUUUAGAAAGGUGCUUGGGUAACUAUUCCAGCCAACAUGUCUUGAAGCCAAGAGCGUGUUGGAAACAGUUCAACAAAUGUCGUGUUCACCAAUCCCAUUCAAUGAUUGGUAUCUGUGUGGUUUGAUGUUUUAAUAAAGUAUUUUGAGUCACGUGA